CCAUAUCAAUGUCAUUUUCAUCAAAAUCAUCCUCAUCACUACGAUACUCAUCCCGCCUUCCUCUCCUAGAUUCACGCCUACCCGGCCCCCUAGCAUUAGACAUCUCCACUUGUCCCCGACUAAGAUUAGCAAUUGUAGUACCCAUUUGUGCCAUCCAUUCCCCUUGCCUAUCCACCUUCUCCCUAACAUCACCAAGUACCCUUUCAAACCUCGUUAUCAU
rnacentral:lncRNA from 1 species